rnacentral:rRNA from 1 species
UACGUAGGGUGCGAGCGUUGUCCGGAAUCACUGGGCGUAAAGGGAGCGUAGGCGGGUUUUUAAGUCAGGUGUUUAAUCCCGGGGCCCAACCCCGGACAGGCACUUGAAACUGGGAAUCUUGAAUAGUGGAGAGGUCAGUGGAAUUGGGGGUGUAGCGGUGGAAUGCGUAGAGAUCCCCAAGAACACCCGUUGCGAAGGCGGCUGACUGGACACAUAUUGACGCUGAGGCUCGAAAGCAUGGGGAGCAAACAGG